UUUUCGUUUUCCUGUGUUCAACGUUUGACCAUUUAUUUUAUUUAAAAUUUUUGUACGAUUAAUAUUAUUAUUAUUAGAUGAUAAAAUAUGAAUAAUACUUUACACGUGACUAAUUUUUUUAGUUUUUUUACAAAAUUUUCAAAUAAAAUAAAUAGUUAAACGUUGGACAUAAAAAU
rnacentral:pre_miRNA from 1 species